UACGUAGGGUGCAAGCGUUAAUCGGAAUUACUGGGCGUAAAGUGUGCGCAGGCGGCGCCGCAAGUCGAGUGUGAAAGCCCCGAGCUUAACUUGGGAAUUGCGCUCGAAACUAUGGUGCUGGAGUGUGGCAGAGGAAGGUGGAAUUCCACGUGUAGCGGUGAAAUGCGUAGAGAUGUGGAGGAACACCGAUGGCGAAGGCAGCCUUCUGGGCCAACACUGACGCUCAUGCACGAAAGCGUGGGGAGCAAACAGG
rnacentral:rRNA from 1 species